UUCAAUAUCGCAGCUCGCGCUGCGGUGUGCACUUUUCUCUUAGUAAGACGCUGUGAUCCAUUAGGAAUGGAUGGCCUCCGGGUCAUCAUUGGGCUGUCAAUAGGCCGGCACGAAGUUCACGAUGGCAAAUGGCGCGACCGCUAUACGGUCGUGUGUAUUGCCUUGUGAGCGUGCCGCGUACUGCUACAGCCGCCUGAUGGAUUCUCCAGACUGCCACGUAAUCGCUUCGGCGAUUACCCGCUGCGGCGGGCGAGUGGUGUGUCCGAUCAACAGCGGUUAAAUUUGGGAUACCUUUGGGACCCGUCUUGAAACACGGACCAAGGAGUCUAUCUAGUGUGCGAGUAAAUGGGCACUUGUUGUGAAACCUAUUUGCGUAAAUAACUUGACUGUUAUGGGAUUACGAGUGCUCCGGCGCGGGCACUCCUCCAUCCCGGGGUAUUUUCAUCACAUGCACCGCUCUCGGGUGGCUGCAUGGAAAAUAUACCAUGAGCGCACUGGAUAUGACCCGAAAGAUGGUGAACUAUGCCUGAUCAGGUUGAAGUCAGGGGAAACCCUGAUGGAGGACCGAAGCAAUUCUGACGUGCAAAUCG
rnacentral:rRNA from 1 species